AACGCGAAGAACCUUACCAAGGUUUGACAUGGCCGGAAAACUCGCAGAGAUGCGGGGUCCUUCGGGGCCGGUCACAGGUGGUGCAUGGCUGUCGUCAGCUCGUGUCGUGAGAUGUUGGGUUAAGUCCCGCAACGAGCGCAACCCUCGUCCCAUGUUGCCAGCGGGUAAUGCCGGGGACUCAUGGGAGACUGCCGGGGUCAACUCGGAGGAAGGUGGGGAUGACGUCAAGUCAUCAUGCCCCUUAUGUCUUGGGCUGCAAACAUGCUACAAUGGCCGGUACAGAGCGCUGCGAGCCCGUGAGGGUGAGCGAAUCGCGGAAAGCCGGUCUCAGUUCGGAUCGGGGUCUGCAACUCGGCCCCGUGAAGCCGGAGUCGCUAGUAAUCGCGGAUCAGCAACGCCGCGGUGAAUACGUUCCCGGGCCUUGUACACACCGUAGUAC
rnacentral:rRNA from 1 species